rnacentral:rRNA from 1 species
AGCAGCCGCGGUAAUUCCAGCUCCAAUAGCGUAUAUUAAAGUUGUUGCAGUUAAAAAGCUCGUAGUUGAAUUUCGGGGUUAGUAGGUUGGUCAUGCCUCUGGUAUGUACUGGUCUCACUGAUUCCUCCUUCCUGAUGAACCUUAAUGCCAUUUAUUUGGUGUUUUGGGGAAUUUGGACUGUUUACUUUGAAAAAUUAGAGUGUUUAAAGCAAGCUAACGCUUGAAUACAUUAGCAUGGAAUAAUGAAAUAGGACGUUCGAUCCUAUUUUGUUGGUUUCUAGGAUUGACGUAAUGAUUAAUAGGGAUAGUUGGGGGCAUUAGUAUUCAAUUGUCAGAGGUGAAAUUCUUGGAUUUUAUUGAAGACUAACUACUGCGAAAGCAUUUGCCAAGGAUGUUUUCAUUAAUCAAGAACGAAAGUUAGGGGAUCGAAGACGAUCAGAUACCGUCGUAGUCUUAACCAUAAACUAUGCCGACUAGGGAUCGGAUGAUGUUAAUUUUUAAUGACUCAUUCGGCGCCUUA